rnacentral:rRNA from 1 species
GAUGAACGCUGGCGGCGUGCUUAACACAUGCAAGUCGAACGAUGAAGCCCAGCUUGCUGGGUGGAUUAGUGGCGAACGGGUGAGUAACACGUGAGUAACCUGCCCUUAACUCUGGGAUAAGCCUGGGAAUCUGGGUCUAAUACCGGAUAGGAGCGUCCACCGCAUGGUGGGUGUUGGAAAGAUUUAUCGGUUUUGGAUGGACUCGCGGCCUAUCAGCUUGUUGGUGAGGUAAUGGCUCACCAAGGCGACGACGGGUAGCCGGCCUGAGAGGGUGACCGGCCACACUGGGACUGAGACACGGCCCAGACUCCUACGGGAGGCAGCAGUGGGGAAUAUUGCACAAUGGGCGCAAGCCUGAUGCAGCGACGCCGCGUGAGGGAUGACGGCCUUCGGGUUGUAAACCUCUUUCAGUAGGGAAGAAGCGAAAGUGACGGUACCUGCAGAAGAAGCACCGGCUAACUACGUG